UGCCGCAAAAAAAAAAAAGAAAACCUAUUGGUCUGAGGUUAAACCUAAAUCGGCAUCCGUGAAGAAACCUAAAUCUUUCGGCUGAAAACCAGAGUUCUUCAACUGUCUUUCUCUCUCUAUUCUCAUCUCAAUCGUCCAGGCUUCAAACACCUAAUGAUGUGCUUCCAAUCCAGAGAUCGUCUAGGCUUCAAGGUGAAGGUUUAUCAGUUCUAACGUGAUUUAGGGUUUAUUCCUGUGUUAUGAAAGCCUUACGUGAUUUAGGGUUUGUGAAGAUCAUAUACUCUUUUGGCUCAAGUUUUGGAAUUGUUCAACCAAUGCCCACAAGUCACAAAUUGGAAGUCUUUCAAGGUAUCACUUCUAUUAAAUACAAUGGACUGCUAUUCCAUAUUUUCUCAACAGUGUGAGGCGACAAAAGACUAGAGAUAGUGGAUAACAAUGACGGAAACAGUAGAGAUUUCAAAAAAAAAAAAAUCAAAUUGGAUAUUGCAGGAAAGAGACAAGUGCUGCUAGCCAGGUUUGUGUGAAUGAGUAUAUGGGUUCUGGUGGCUGUGUUGGGAUGUUCGAAUUGAAGAAGUUAGGAUUGUAUUUCAGCUAACCGAAUCAAAUUCUCACUGAUCAAUUGAAGUAUACUUCUCUCCCUAAUUGUCUACAACCUGUCCCUCUCUCUAUUUUCCUCUCGAGUUUUCUUCUCCAGCGGAAACCAUGUAAUCUUUUAUCUUUCAUUACCAUCUACAUCCGACCAGUAAAGUCGCAAUAUGUAGAUGUAGUAAAGAGAUUCUGAUGUUUUAUUUUUUUUAGGAAUAAUAGUGUGUUAAAGGAGCUGGAAGUGGGAUACUGGAACUGGUGUGGGCUGCGGGGGUGAAUUUAUAUACGGAUGUAGUGCUGAUGGUGGUAUAAGGGUACAUGUUACAUUUGAUUUCUUAUAGUCAAAUAUUAUCAAUUGAUUUUUAAAUUUGUUCUAAUUACAUAAUUUUUUACUUCUUUAAUUAAUGCAAUGCAAAUAUUAUUUGAGAAUAUAUUUUUGAGUCUGGUACGAUCUUUUACGAAUCUCAAGGUGGUUGCUGGAGGCUUAUCGACACAGAAGAGGCCUUCAAUAUUCUUUUAUAUCUCCUGACAUACGUGGAAUUGGGGAAUCACAUUUGCACUCAAUGUUGCAAAAAUGGAGAUAUCACAUAAGAUGCAGUUAGAAGGAAUUCCAAAUGCAGGGACCAUGUGAACCCAGCUGAAGAUUGAAUUCGAACUGAAGUUUCUAAAAUACUCCCUCCGUCCCACUAAUAAGUGAUCUAGUUACUUUUAGAUUUUGUCCCAUCAUUAAGUGACCUAUAUCACUAAAGGAGUUAUUUCUAAAACUAUCAUUUU